AGGCCAGAAGGGGCUGCCAACAUCUGCUUCCCAUUACCCGGGGGAGGGACUUCACCACCAGCCGCUGGUAACAGGAGACCCUGGCCUCUGAUUUAUGGCCCAUUUGGAAGGAGGCCUCGGAGCAAUUACUUGUUGGAUUGAGCCAGGCGAGGGGCUAGAGCUUUGCAAAGCGGAAAGCAGCCCCUGGCUGGCAGCGCUUUCUCCCCAGGAAGACAGGGACUAUCCACUCAGGAUCCAACAUAUCAGAGGAGGACUCCAGGAAGUCAUUCUACCACCUCUGCCUCCCUGCUGACGAAUCCGAUAUUUGGUUGAACAUUCCUACUUCAAAAUUCCAAAAUCUGAAGCAGUCCAAAAUCUGAAACUUUUGGGGCACUGACAUGAAGCCACAAAUAGAAAAUUCCACAUGUCUGGCAGUGUGUCUCACAGCUACCAGAAGCUUGAAGUGGUGCUGAACAUGCAUAAUGUGCUGAGACGUCUGCAGCAACUGUCCUUCCAUAGACUCCUUGGAUUUCGUGGUCCCAGGCUGAGAAAGCUUGGGGUAGAGAAAUAGGGCUGAGGGCAAAUCGCUGGCUGCAGCCGUGCUGUGGAAGGACCUGACACGCUGACUGGGAAUACAUCACUCAGAGUACAUGGCUGG
rnacentral:lncRNA from 1 species